UACGUAGGGCGCAAGCGUUGUCCGGAAUUAUUGGGCGUAAAGCGCUCGUAGGCGGCUUGUCGCGUCGAUUGUGAAAGCCCGGGGCUUAACUCCGGGUCUGCAGUCGAUACGGGCAGGCUAGAGUGUGGUAGGGGAGAUCGGAAUUCCUGGUGUAGCGGUGAAAUGCGCAGAUAUCAGGAGGAACACCGGUGGCGAAGGCGGAUCUCUGGGCCAUUACUGACGCUGAGGAGCGAAAGCGUGGGGAGCGAACAGG
rnacentral:rRNA from 1 species